rnacentral:lncRNA from 1 species
ACAUGUACUUAUGACUAUUAGGUAUUUUUACCGAUUAAACCCUUUUGCUCGUUUUCACUUAAAACCGAGUAGCACAAGUUGUCUAACAUAAUUUAAAACUUCAUAUUCUAUCAUAAAACACCAAAAUACACAAAUUUCACCUAUGGGUAUUUUUCAAAAUAUGAACCCUAGGUUGAAUUAUUGCUAGCAUAAGCUAAAUCAAGUUACCGGGACUCAAAAAACGUAAAA